rnacentral:rRNA from 1 species
ACUCCUACGGGACGCAGCAGUGGGGAAUAUUGGACAAUGGGGGAAACCCUUAUCCAGCGACGCCGCGUGAGGGAAGAAGGUUUUCGGAUUGUAAACCUCUGUCAGUGGGGACGAUAAUGACGGUACCCACGGAGGAAGCCACGGCUAACUACGUGCCAGCAGCCGCGGUAAUACGUAGGUGGCAAGCGUUGUCCGGAUUUACUGGGUGUAAAGGGAGCGUAGGCGGCCUGGCAAGCCUGAUGUGAAAUACCGGGGCCCAACCCCGGGGCUGCAUUGGGAACUGCCAGGCUGGAGUGCCGGAGAGG